AAAGAGUUUUAUUCUUGCUCGAUUAUUUACUUUUAGAUUGUUUUACAUGUAAGUUUAUGCAUGAUUGUUUGUAAUUAUUUCUUAAUGUAGUUCUUUGAAUUUGUUAUUCGCAGUAUUUGAUUUUAAAUAUUUAGGUAACUAUGAUUUAGUAAUUUGUCAUUUAAUAUUGAUUAAAUAUGUGCCAGCAUUCGCGGUUAUACAUUGGAUAUAAGUAAAUAUGGUUAGUUAGUUUAGUUAUUAAUAUAUUGUUAUAAAUUAUGGUAGUUUUCUUUAGGUAAAAUUAUAGUUUGUUAAUUUUUUAUUUUUAUUGUUUAAAAUCUAUGAGAUCUUAAGUUUAAACUAGGAUUAGAUACCCUAUUAUUUUUGAUAUAAAUUACUUAGCUUGAGUAGUAUUAUUUAUUCUUGAAACUUAAAGAAUUUGGCGGUGUUUUAAUCUUUUUAGAGGAAUCUGUCCCGUAAUCGAUAACCCACGAUGUACCUUACUUUUUUUAUAGUUUAUAUACCGCCGUUUUUGUAAUCUUUUUUAGAAUGUGAAAUUUCUUUAUCUUUUAUUUAGGGUUAUUUCAGGUCAAGGUGUAGCUUAUAUUAAAGUGGUGAUGGAUUACAAUAUUUUUUUGUAUAUGAAUUAAAUAGGAUGUAAUUAUUUUUAUGAAGGUGGAUUUAAUAGUAAUUUUAUAAAGAUUAUUUGUGUGAAAUAGGCUCUAGAACAUGUACAUAUCGCCCGUCGCUCUCGUUAAUAUAAAUGAGAUAAGUCGUAACAUAGUAGGUGUACCGGAAGGUGUACCUAGAAUGUU
rnacentral:ncRNA from 1 species